rnacentral:sRNA from 1 species
CUACGUCAUUGGAGGGGGUUUUGGGAAAGGAAAAGGGUUCGAUGAGUCAUCAAAACCACAUCUUCUGUGGAAGAAGAACCCGUCACCAGAGCACCCGACAAGAUAUAACUUCACACAAUUUACUAUUACACUCAAUGAAAUCACACCUGAACUAAAGGAGAAGUUGCCACCGACAGAUUCAAGGCUAAGACCUGAUCAAAGGUGUUUG